rnacentral:rRNA from 1 species
AGUGCAUGUGGUGGAUGCCUUGGCAGUCAGAGGCGAUGAAAGACGUGAUAGCCUGCGAAAAGCUCCGGGGAGGCGGCAAAUAUCCUUUGAUCCGGAGAUGUCUGAAUGGGGGAACCCACCUACUUUAAGGUAGGUAUUGCAACAUGAAUACAUAGUGUUGCAAGGCGAACGAGGGGAAGUGAAACAUCUCAGUACCCUUAGGAAAAGAAAUCAAUUGAGAUUCCCUCAGUAGCGGCGAGCGAACGGGGAUCAGCCCAUUAAGUUAUGUGUGUUUUAGUGGAACGCUCUGGGAAGUGCGAACGUAGAGGGUGAUAUUCCCGUACACGAAAGGGCACACAUAAUGAUGACGAGUAGGGCGAGGCACGUGAAACCUUGUCUGAAUAUGGGGGGACCAUCCUCCAAGGCUAAAUACUCCUGACUGACCGAUAGUGAACCAGUACCGUGAGGGAAAGGCGAAAAGAACCCCUGUGAGGGGAGUGAAAUAGAUCCUGAAACCGCAUGCAUACAAGCAGUGGGAGCACCUUCGUGGUGUGACUGCGUACCUUUUGUAUAAUGGGUCAGCGACUUAUAUUCAGUAGCAAGGUUAACCGUAUAGGGGAGCCGUAGAGAAAUCGAGUCUUAAUAGGGCGUUUAGUUGCUGGGUAUAGACCCGAAACCAGGCGAUCUAUCCAUGAGCAGGUUGAAGGUUGGGUAACACUAACUGGAGGACCGAACCCACUGUCGUUGAAAAGCCAGGGGAUGACUUGUGGAUAGGGGUGAAAGGCUAAUCAAGCCUGGUGAUAGCUGGUUCUCCCCGAAAGCUAUUUAGGUAGCGCCUCGGACGAAUACCAUAGGGGGUAGAGCACUGUUUCGGCUAGGGGGUCAUCCCGACUUACCAAACCGAUGCAAACUCCGAAUACCUAUGAGUACUAUCCGGGAGACAGACUGCGGGUGCUAACGUCCGUAGUCAAGAGGAAAACAAUCCAGACCGCCAGCUAAGGCCCCAAAAUCAUAGUUAAGUGGGAAACGAUGUGGGAAGGCAUAGACAGCUAGGAGGUUGGCUUAGAAGCAGCCACCCUUUAAAGAAAGCGUAAUAGCUCACUAGUCGAGUCGGCCUGCGCGGAAGAUGUAACGGGGCUAAAACUAUGUGCCGAAGCUGCGGAUUUGACAUUAGUCAAGUGGUAGGGGAGCGUUCUGUAAGCCGAUGAAGGUGUAUUGAGAAGUAUGCUGGAGGUAUCAGAAGUGCGAAUGCUGACGUGAGUAACGACAAAACGGGUGAAAAACCCGUUCGCCGAAAGACCAAGGGUUCCAGUCCAACGUUAAUCGGGGCUGGGUGAGUCGACCCCUAAGGCGAGGCCGAAAGGCGUAGUCGAUGGGAAAAUGGUUAAUAUUCCAUUACUUCUGUGUAAUGCGAUGAGAGGACGGAGAAGGCUAAAUCAGCCUGGCGUUGGUUGUCCAGGUGAAAGGAUGUAGGCAUGUAUCUUAGGCAAAUCCGGGGUACUCUAUGCUGAGAUCUGAUAGCAAGCUGUACUUGUACAGCGAAGUGGUUGAUGCCAUGCUUCCAGGAAAAGUCUCUAAGCUUCAGUUACACAGGAAUCGUACCCGAAACCGACACAGGUGGUCAGGUCGAGUAGACCAAGGCGCUUGAGAGAACUCUGCUGAAGGAACUAGGCAAAAUGGUACCGUAACUUCGGGAGAAGGUACGCUGUUGUUGGUGAUGGAACUCGCUUCCUGAGCUGACGACAGCCGCAGAAACCAGGCCGCUGCAACUGUUUAUUAAAAACAUAGCACUCUGCAAACACGAAAGUGGACGUAUAGGGUGUGAUGCCUGCCCGGUGCUGGAAGGUUAAUUGAUGGGGUUAGCGUAAGCGAAGCUCUUGAUCGAAGCCCCAGUAAACGGCGGCCGUAACUAUAACGGUCCUAAGGUAGCGAAAUUCCUUGUCGGGUAAGUUCCGACCUGCACGAAUGGCAUAAUGAUGGCGGCGCUGUCUCCAGCAGAGGCUCAGUGAAAUCGAAAUCGCUGUGAAGAUGCAGUGUACCCGCGGCUAGACGGAAAGACCCCGUGAACCUUUACUGCAGCUUGACACUGAACUUUGACCUUACUUGUGUAGGAUAGGUGGGAGGCUUUGAAGCUGGAACGCUAGUUCCAGUGGAGCCGUCCUUGAAAUACCACCCUGGUAAUGUUGAGGUUCUAACUCUGUCCCGUGAUCCGGGACGAGGACCGUGUCUGGUGGGUAGUUUGACUGGGGCGGG